ACACGAGGUGACAUUGGGGUGUCCCCAAAUGCUGUGUGGGGACAUUUGGGAUACGGGGUGACAUUGGGGUGUCCCCAAAUGCUGUGUGGGGACAUUUGGGACAGGAGGAUGAGCGGCUCCUGCGUCCCUUCCUGGACAAAACCCUGACCUCCCGCCUGGGCAUGCGCAUGUUGGCGACCCAUCACCUGGCCCUACACGAGGACAAGCCCGACUUCGUGGGCAUCAUCUGCACCCGGUUGUCCCCCAAAAAGAUCAUCGAGAAGUGGGUCGACUUCGCCCGGUGAGAUUUUUGGGGGUCGUCUGUAGGGUUGCUUGCGGGGUUUUGCGGGUCCCCUGUGGGGCUGGAGGAAGCGCUCGUAUGGGGUUUGUGUGGGG